rnacentral:lncRNA from 10 species
UGUCUGGGAGUUGCAGGGGUCUUUUUGUUUGUCUGUUUGUUUGACCGAGUGCUGGGGGUAAAAAUGGGGAGGAGAGAGCUGAGAAGUCUGACCCAAGGACGUGCGAUCAUGUCCCCACUGCCAUCACCAGCGACAAACCUCAAUUCCAUGCUAACUGGUCUUUUUGCCCUUCAUCCAAGAUGGUCUGCUGACACGCCUCCCCCAAUGACCAUUAAAAUGACUGAAGAGAUAAAAUAGAGGGAGAACUGUCGCCACUUAACACUAGGGGAAUGCGUCAUUCACACUCCUGAAACUUAGAAAAGUUUAAGAGGAUCCGAGGGAUGGCUGAAGGAACUCCACAUUCAUCAGGCGAGAAGCAGGAGCCGGCCUGGGAAUCCCCAGCACAACACUCCCCCGGCGCGCCUCCUCCAAGCUCUGGGUACGUGUGACAGUUCACCCGCGAGGCCGGCGCCUGGGAAUCUCUGCCGAGCUUAAGGCUGCUGGAGGACACAGGUUUGCCGGCAUAAACUAGGAUCCUAGCUUCAGGCC